rnacentral:rRNA from 1 species
GUAAGUACGUAAGAGCACACAGGUGGAUACCUUGGCACGACAGGCGAUGAAGGACGUAGCAGGCUGCGAAAAGCUCGGGGGAGCUGCCAACAAGCAAUGAUCCCGAGAUAUCCGAAUGGGGCAACCCACGUGUCGUCAUGGACACGUACUCCGCGAUGAAUCCAAUAGUCGCGGUAGAGCAUACCCGGUGAACUGAAACAUCUAAGUAGCCGGAGGAAAAGACAUCAACCGAGAUUCCCGUAGUAGUGGCGAGCGAACCGGGAACAGCCUAAACCCCGCACGUGUAAGCGUAGCAGCGUUGCGUGAAGGGGGGUUGCACGGCGAUCUUUCGAGGGUGCUGCACCUCGAGAUCAGUAAGAAAUCCGAUCGAUAGACGAAGCCGGCUGGAAAGCCGCACCAAAGACGGUGAUAGUCCCGUAGUUGAAAUCGGUCGGACUGAUUUGGAUCGUUCGUAAGUAGGGCGGGGCACGAGAAACCCUGUCUGAACCUGGGAGGACCAUCUUCCAAGGCUAAAUAUUCUGUCGUGACCGAUAGCGCAUAGUACCGUGAGGGAAAGGUGAAAAGAACCCCCGAAGGGGAGUGAAAUAGAACAUGAAACCGUGUGCUUACAAACCGUGAAAGGCCCAUGCGCAAGCAAGGCUGAUCGCGUGCCUAUUGAAGAAUGAACCUGCGAGUUACUUGUAACGGGCUUGGUUAAGGUGUUGAGCCGGAGCCGUAGCGAAAGCGAGUCUGAAUAGGGCGUUCGUCCGUUGCAGUAGACCCGAAACCGAGUGAUCUAUCCAUGGCCAGGGUGAAGCGUGAUUAACCUCACGUGGAGGCCCGAACCUGUUGUUGUUGAAAAAACAUUGGAUGAGCUGUGGAUAGGGGUGAAAAGCCAAUCGAACCUGGAGAUAGCUGGUUCUCCCCGAAAUAGUUUGAGGACUAGCGUUGAGAUUUAACCCUUGGGGGUAGAGCACUGACAGGGCUAGGGGCCUUACCGGGUUACCGAACCCCAUCAAACUCCGAAUACCAGGGCGAACAUCUCAGCAGUCAGACGGUGGGGGAUAAGCUCCAUCGUCAAAAGGGAAACAGCCCAGAUCAUCAGCUAAGGUCCCUAAUCGAUGCUCAGUGGUAAAGGAAGUCGUUUCGCACAGACAACUAGGAGGUUGGCUUAGAAGCAGCCACCCUUGAAAGAGUGCGUAAUAGCUCACUAGUCGAGUGAGGCGGCGCCGAAAAUGUAACGGGGCUCAAGCAUCGAACCGAAGCUAUGGGAUGUGCAAACAUCGGUAGGGGAGCGUUGUCGCGUAGGCCGAAGCCGGACCGUGAGGACCGGUGGACGAACGACAAGUGCGAAUGCAGGUAUAAGUAGCGAUAAAUGCGGGUGAGAACCCCGCACGCCGGAAGUCUAAGGUUUCCUGAGCUACGUCAAUCGUCUCAGGGUGAGUCGGGUCCUAAGCCGAGGCUGAGAAGCGUAGGCGAUGGCCAAGCCGUUCAUAUUCGGCUACCACCGACGUCAGUUUAGACUCUCGCGAACUCAUGUCACGAAUCCUCGGAUCAACCCUCGUUGACGCAAUGCACGAGCGACAGUUCGGGCGAGCGUCUCGCGAGGGAUUUUCGUCGAGCGCAAGGCGCUGGCAUGCGAAGUGUACUUCGGUACACGAGCAUGACGGCAACGCAGCGAUCGGCGAAAAGACCCGCGACCGUGCCAUCAGUCACGAGAGUCUAUGAAGUGAAGGGAUGACGCAGGAGGAUAGGUCAGCGCACCGUCGGACGUGUGCGUCGAAGCAGGUAGGGGGUCAGAUAGGAAAAUCCGUCUGGCAACUCCGAGAUGCGAGUGCGAGAUCCUUUACGGAUCGAAGUGAUUGACUCCACGCUGCCAAGAAAAGUCUCUAGCGAUGACAGAGGUGCCCGUACCGUACACCGACACUGGUAGACUGGCAGAGCAUGCUAAGGCGACGGGAGAACCCCUGUUAAGGAACUCGGCAAAUUAACCCCGUAACUUUGGGAGAAGGGGUGCCCCUGUUGGUCUAGUCUUCACGACGAAAGCCGAUGGGGGUCGCAGUGAAUAGGCCCAAGCGACUGUUUAACAAAAACACAGGUCUCUGCGAACGCGAAAGCGGACGUAUAGGGGCUGACUCCUGCCCGGUGCUGGAAGGUUAAAAGGAGAGGUUAGCGCAAGCGAAGCUUUGAAUUGAAGCCCCAGUAAACGGCGGCGGUAACUAUAACCGUCCUAAGGUAGCGAAAUUCCUUGUCGGGUAAGUUCCGACCUGCACGAAUGGAGUAACGACUUGGGCACUGUCUCGAUGGGGGUCCCGGCGAAAUUGCAGUACCAGUGAAGAUGCUGGUUACCCGCGGCAGGACGGAAAGACCCCAUGAAGCUUUACUAUACCCUGAUGUUGGGUCUUGAGAUUUUCUGUACAGGAUAGGUGGGAGCUGAUGAUCCGUGGGCGCUAGCCUACGGGGAGGCAACCUUGGGAUACCACCCUGAAAAUCUUGGGAUUCUAACCUGCGACCGUAAGCCGGUCGGGAGACAGCGUCAGGCGGGUAGUUUGACUGGGGCGGUCGCCUCCUAAAGAGUAACGGAGGCGCCCAAAGGUUCCCUCAGGACGGUCAGAAACCGUUCGUACAGAGUGCAUAGGCAUAAGGGAGCUUGACUGCGAGACGGACAGGUCGAGCAGGUGCGAAAGCAGGGCUAAGUGAUCCGGCGGUUCCGAAUGGAAGGGCCGUCGCUUAUCGGAUAAAAGCUACUCUGGGGAUAACAGGCUUAUCUCCCCCAAGAGUCAAUUUAGGGCUCCCCGCUUGGGCGACCAAGCGGUAAACUCGUGGCUCAUAUCGGUGGAACCCUUGUCAGAGGGCAAUACCGAGGGAAGAGAGUUUGUGGAGACAUAUUUCGCGCGCCGCGCGCGGCAAAGACCACUCGAUCGAGUUCAGCGCGAACUCGUCGUCGGAUCUUUGCUUGGAGAUGCGACGCUGCUGAAGACGACGUCGGGCUGGUGCUUCAGGGUCCACCAUGGACUCAGACAGCGGUCAUACGUCGAUUUCAAGCAUCGUUUUCUUCAGGAUUAUGUGCAGUCGCCACCGCGUCAGAGUGGGCGGGCGUACUAUUUCCGGACCGUUACACAUCCGGCGUUCUCGGACUACCGAGACGCAUUCUAUCAAUCGAAUCGAAAAGUGGUUCCGAUCGAACUGCUGCGCGAGCAG